rnacentral:rRNA from 1 species
GACGAGCGCUGGCGGCGUGCUUAUCACAUGCAAGUCGAACGGAAAGGCCCUGCUUUUGUGGGGUGCUCGAGUGGCGAACGGGUGAGUAACACGUGAGUAACCUGCCCUUGACUUUGGGAUAACUUCAGGAAACUGGGGCUAAUACCGGAUAGGAGCUCCUGCUGCAUGGUGGGGGUUGGAAAGUUUCGGCGGUUGGGGAUGGACUCGCGGCUUAUCAGCUUGUUGGUGGGGUAGUGGCUUACCAAGGCUUUGACGGGUAGCCGGCCUGAGAGGGUGACCGGCCACAUUGGGACUGAGAUACGGCCCAGACUCCUACGGGAGGCAGCAGUGGGGAAUAUUGCACAAUGGGCGGAAGCCUGAUGCAGCAACGCCGCGUGCGGGAUGACGGCCUUCGGGUUGUAAACCGCUUUCGCCUGUGACGAAGCGUGAGUGACGGUAAUGGGUAAAGAAGCACCGGCUAACUACGUG